rnacentral:ncRNA from 1 species
CCUAGUGAACUGAAACAUCUUAGUAGCUAGAGAAAAAGAAAGCAAAAGCGAUUCCUGUAGUAGAGGUGAGUGAAAUGAGA